ensembl:lncRNA
CGGGUCUUCCUGAAAAUCCAUGUCUUCCAGAAAAGCCAUGUCUUCCAGGAAAUCCAUGUCUUCCAUCAAAUCCAUGGCUUCCAGAAAAUCAAUGUCUUCCAGGAAAUCCAUGUCUUCCAGCAAAUAUUUGUCUUCCAACAAAACUGUGUCUUCCAUCAAAUUCAUGUCUUCCAGCCUAUCCAUCUCUUCCAGAAAAUCCUCGUCUUCCAAUGAAGGUGCACCUUCCAGGAAAAUCCAUGUCUUCCAGAAAAUCUUCGUCUUCCGAUGAAGGUGCGCCUUCCAGGAAAUCCACGUCUUCCAGAAAAUCCUAGUCUUCCAAUGAAGGUGCGCCUUCCAGGAAAUCCACGUCUUCCAGAAAAUCCUCGUCUUCCAAUGAAGGUGCGCCUUCCAGGAAAUCCACGUCUUCCAGAAAAUCCCUGUCUUCCAAUGAAGGUGCGCCUUCCAGGAAAUCCACGUCUUCCAGAAAAUCCCUGUCUUCCAAUGAAGGUGCGCCUUCCAGGAAAUCCACGUCUUCCAGAAAAUCCCUGUCUUCCAAUGAAGGUGCGCCUUCCAGGAAAUCCUUGUCUUCCAACAAAGGUGUGUCUUCCAGAAAAUCCUCGUCUUCCAAUGAAGGUGCGCCUUCCAGGAAAUCCAUGUCUUCCAGAAAAUCCCUGUCUUCCAAUGAAGGUGCGCCUUCCAGGAAAUCCUUGUCUUCCAACGAAGGUGUGUCUUCCAGAAAAUCCUCGUCUUCCUACACCUCCAGGUCUUCCAGCAUCUCCAGGGCUUCCAGCAUCUGCUCGUCUUCCAGCAUCUCUGUGUCUUCCAGCAUCUCCACGUCUUCCAACAUCUCCACGUCUUCCAACAUCUUUACGUCUUCCAGCAUUUCUACGUCUUCCAGCAUUUCUACGUCUUCCAGCAUCUCCACGUCUUCCAGCAUCUCCAUGUCUUCCAAACAACUACUCAGUCUUCCAAAAGCAGGCUCAAUAUCUACGUCUUCCAACGUCUCUGGUGUACCGGUCUUCUAACAUUCAGGUCUUCCAGUGUCUACGAUAUCCAGGGAAAAUACAGUAUUAUCUUAAUUGAAAGACAAGCCUAAAAUUACGAUCUCAAAUAUGUUAAAAAUGCAUAAUAAGGACUGAAAAGAAAAGUGGCGACAAUUUAAUGCCUCUGUGUGGUGAGAAUUCAUAUCACUUUUUCUCUAUUUCCUUAUAGGUUUUUAAAAAAUCCAAAUGUUAUGAAGUGAGCUUAUGUUAUUUUUCCUUUUAGAAAAAUAAUACAUGCUUAUCAUGAAAGUAAAAUUACAGUGGUAUAUAAAGUAACAGGUGAAAAUAUCCCUCUCCUAGUCCCAGAGCCCAGAGAUAGCCGUGAUUAUUUGUUUGUUUUGUAUCUCCAAGUUCUUUUUCUGUUUAUGUGUUCUUGUGUGUUUUAUAAAGCAAAAUUAUCCUAUACUUGUUAUUCUACAACUUGAUCCACCCGCACCUCCCAGCCCUGGGAUCAAUAGAAAGUCAUUGUAACAGCCAGUAGAGUUCUAUAAUAGGUGAACCAUAUAAUUUAUUCAAUUUUUUCCACAUGAUAGAUCUUCAGGUUGUCAACAGUUUUUUUUUUUAACUGUUACAAAUAAUAUUAUAAAAAAAUUUUUAAAAUCUAUCUUUUGCACAUGUAGAAAUAUUUUUGUAGACUAAUACCAUAGAAAUAAAACUGCUAGAUCAAAGGGUUUGAGCUAAACU